rnacentral:tRNA from 1 species
CAGAGAAUAAUUUAAAAAAAAAUGUUAAUUUUGGAGAUUAAUUAUAAAUAGUUUCCUAUUUUUCUUUGA